rnacentral:rRNA from 1 species
GGGGGAGGUGCGGCGUGCUAAUACAUGCAGGUCGACGAACUCUGGUAUUGAUUGGUGCUUGCAUCAUGAUUUACAUUUGAUUGAUUGGCGAACUGGUGAGUAACACGUGGGAAACCUGCCCAAAAGCGGGGGAUAACACCUGGAAACAAAUGCUAAUACCGCAUAACAACUUGGACCGCAUGGUCCGAGUUUGAAAAAUGGCUUCGGCUAUCACUUUUGGAUGGUCCCGCGGCGUAUUACCUAAAUGGUGGGGUAACGGCUCACCAUGGCAAUGAUACGUACCCAACCUGAAAGGGUAAUCGGCCACAUUGGGACUGAAACACGGCCCAAACUCCUACGGGAGGCACCAGUAGGGAAUCUUCCACAAUGGACAAAAGUCUGAUGGAGCAACCCCCCGUGAGUGAAAAAGGGUUUCGGCUCGUAAAACUCUGUUGUUAAAAAAAAACAUAUCUGAAAGUAACUGUUCAGGUAUUGACGGUAUUUAACCAAAAAGCCACGGCUAACUACGUGCCACCAGCCGCGGUAAUACGUAGGUGGCAAGCGUUGUCCGGAUUUAUUGGGCGUAAAGCGAGCGCAGGCGGUUUUUUAAUUCUGAUGUGAAAGCCUUCGGCUCACCCGAAAAAGUGCAUCGGAAACUGGGAAACUUGAGUGCAGAAGAGGACAGUGGAACUCCAUGUGUAGCGGUGAAAUGCGUAGAUAUAUGGAAGAACACCAUUGGCGAAGGCGGCUGUCUGGUCUGUAACUGACGCUGAGGCUCGAAAGUAUGGGUAGCAAACAGGAUUAGAUACCCUGGUAGUCCAUACCGUAAACGAUGAUUGCUAAGUGUUGGAGGGUUUCCGCCCUUCACUGCUGCAGCUAACGCAUUAGCAUUCCGCCUGGGGAGUACGGCCGCAGGGCUGAACUCAAGGGAUUUGACUGGGGCCCGCACAACCGGUGACGCAUGUGGUUUAUUUCUAAUCUACGCGAGAACCGUACAGUCUUGACGUCUAUGCAAUUCUAAAAACUUAAACGUCCUUCUGGACUGGAAUACAGUGGUUCCAUGGUUGC